rnacentral:rRNA from 1 species
UAGCAUAUCAAUAAGCGGAGGAAAAGAAACCAACAGGGAUUGCCCUAGUAACGGCGAGUGAAGCGGCAACAGCUCAAAUUUGAAAUCUGGCUUCGGCCCGAGUUGUAAUUUGUAGAGGAUGCUUUUGGCGCGGUGCCUUCUGAGUUCCCUGGAACGGGACGCCAUAGAGGGUGAGAGCCCCGUAUAGUUGGACACCUAGCCUCUGUAAAGCUCCUUCGACGAGUCGAGUAGUUUGGGAAUGCUGCUCAAAAUGGGAGGUAAAUUUCUUCUAAAGCUAAAUACCGGCCAGAGACCGAUAGCGCACAAGUAGAGUGAUCGAAAGAUGAAAAGCACUUUGAAAAGAGGGUUAAACAGCACGUGAAAUUGUUGAAAGGGAAGCGCUUAUGACCAGACUUGGGCCCUGCAAAUCAUCCGGCGUUCUCGCCGGUGCACUUUGCUGGGUCCAGGCCAGCAUCGGUUUUCCCAGGGGGAUAAAAGUUUAGGGAACGUAACUCCUCCGGGAGUGUUAUAGCCCUUUUCAUAAUACCCUUGGGGGGACCGAGGACCGCGCUUCUGCAAGGAUGCUGGCGUAAUGGUCAUCAGCGACCCGUCUUGAAACACGGACCAAGGAGUCAACCAUUAGGGCGAGUGUUUGGGUGUAAAACCCGCACGCGUAAUGAAAGUGAACGUAGGUGAGAGCUUCGGCGCAUCAUCGACCGAUCCUGAAGUAUUCGGAUGGAUUUGAGUAAGAGCCUUACCGGUUGGACCCGAAAGAUGGUGAACUAUGCCUGUAUAGGGUGAAGCCAGAGGAAACUCUGGUGGAGGCUCGCAGCGGUUCUGACGUGCAAAUCGAUCGUCAAAUAUGGGCAUGGGGGCGAAAGACUAAUCGAACCAUCUUGUACCUGGUUACCGCCAAU